rnacentral:rRNA from 1 species
GACGAACGCUGGCGGCGUGCUUAACACAUGCAAGUCGAACGGCAAGGCCCUGCUUGCAUGGUCCUCCAGUUGCCAACGGGUGGGUAACACGUGGGUGCUCUGCCCUCCACUUCUUGAUAAGCCUGGGCGACUGGGUCUAUUACCUGAUAGCGCCCAUUAUUUGCGGGUUGGUUGGAAAGUUUUUUCGGUGUUGGAUGAGCUCGCGGCCGAUCAGCUUGUUGGGGGGGUGAUGGCCUACCAAGGCGGGGAGGGGUAGCCGGCCUGCGAGUGUGGACGGCCACAUUGGGACUGAGGGACGGCACAGACUGCGAAGGGAGGAAGAAGGGGGGAAGAUUGAACAAGGGGCGCAAGCCGGAUGCAGAGAGGCCGCGGGGGGGAUGACGGCCUUCGGGUGGUAAACAACUUUCGCGAGGGAAGAAGCUUGUUGUGACGGUACCUAGAGAAGAAGCACCGGCUAACUACGUG